rnacentral:rRNA from 1 species
CCUACGGGAGGCAGCAGUAGGGAAUAUUGCUCAAUGGGGGAAACCCUGAAGCAGCAACGCCGCGUGGAGGAUGAAGGUUUUCGGAUUGUAAACUCCUUUUUUUAGAGAAGAUAAUGACGGUAUCUAACGAAUAAGCACCGGCUAACUCAGUGCCAGCAUCCGCUGUAAUACGGAGGGUGCAAGCGUUACUCGGAAUCACUGGGCGUAAAGAGCGCGUAGGCGGGAUAGCAAGUCAGAUGUGAAAUCCUAUGGCUUAACCCUAGAACUGCGUUUGAAACUGUUAUUCUAGAGUAUGGGAGAGGUAGGUGGAAUUCUUGGUGUAGGGGUGAAAUGCGUAGAGAUCAAGAGGAAUACUCAUUGCGAAGGCGACCUGCUAGAACAUGACUGACGCUGAUGCGCGAAAGCGUGGGGAGCAAACAGGAUUAGAUACCCUUGUAGUC